rnacentral:rRNA from 1 species
CCUACGGGUGGCAGCAGUAGGGAAUAUUGCGCAAUGGAAGAAACCCUGACGGAGCAACGCCGCGUGGGUGAAGAAGGUUUUCGGAUUGUAAACCCCUGUUGUUAGAGAAGAUAAUGGCGGUAUCUAACGGAUAGUCCCCGGCUCACUCCUUACCAGCAGCCGAGGUAAUACGUAGGUUGCAAGCGUUACCCGGAAUGACUGGGCGUAAAGAGAUCGGAGGCGGGAGAGCAAGUCAGAUGUGAAAUCCUCUGGCUCAACCAUAGAACUGCAUUUGAAACUGGUAGUCUAGAGUAUGGAAGAGGUAGGUGGAAUUCCAUGUGUAGGGGUAAAAUCCGUAGAUAUAAAGAGGAAGACCAGUGGCGAAGGCGACCUGCUAGACCAUAACUGACGCUGAGGCUCGAAAGCGUGGGGAGCAAACAGGAUUAGAUACCCUAGUAGUC